UCAUGCGAUUCCCUUUACUUGAACAAUACAAAUAUUACAUCAAUUUAAAAUGUAGAAGAAUCUUCAGCUGCAUAAAAAUAUAGAAUUUAGUUAAAUUCGAAGGAUUCAUUGGUAUAAUUUUCUUUCUAUACAAAAUCACCAAGAGGAUAAAGUACAACUGGGAUGUUGUCGGU